rnacentral:rRNA from 1 species
AGGUGAUGGACAACAGGUUGAUAUUCCUGUACUACCGAUAACCGCUUGAGAGAAGGGAUGACACAGUAGGAUAAGCUAAGCACACUGUUGGUUAUGUGUGCCCAAGCAUUGAGGCAGUCAAAGUAGGUAAAUCCGCUUUGAUAAUGCUGGGAUGUGAUGGGGAGCGAAAUUUAGUAGCGAAGUAGCUGAUUUCACACUGUCAAGAAAAGUCUCUAUCGAGGUUAAAGGUACCCGUACCGCAAACCGACACAGGUGGGUGAGGGAGUAUCCUAAGGCCAGCGAGAGAACUGUUGUUAAGGAACUCGGCAAAAUGACCCCGUAACUUAGGGAUAAGGGGUGCCACCAUCA